UAUGGUGUGUGCCAGCCGCCGCGGUAAUACGGAAGAUGCGAGCGUUAUCCGGAUUUAUUGGGUUUAAAGGGAGCGUAGGCGGGCUUUUAAGUCAGCGGUCAAAUGUCACGGCUCAACCGUGGCCAGCCGUUGAAACUGUAAGCCUUGAGUCUGCACAGGGCACAUGGAAUUCGUGGUGUAGCGGUGAAAUGCUUAGAUAUCACGAAGAACUCCGAUCGCGAAGGCAUUGUGCCGGGGCAGCACUGACGCUGAGGCUCGAAAGUGCGGGUAUCAAACAGG
rnacentral:rRNA from 1 species